UGCGCAUGCGUAUACUGACCAAGAAGAUUGCUCGGCUGUGAGCCUGCAAUGUUAUGGCUAUGACGCUGGUAUUUAAACUCUUCUGAUAACCUACUGUCACAAUAACAAAGGCUAACAAACAUUUCUGUAUUCGUAUUGCGACCUCGUUAUAUCCUGCCUGACUCCUCAUCAUGCCGAGCAAUAAGCUUGAUAAACCCGACAAGCAAGAGGUGAGUGAUAAUGUGAAGGUGGUGGUGAGAUGUCGUCCCCUAAACCAGAAGGAGAAAAUGAUGAGUCACAAACAGGCCGUCACUGUGGACGAGAUCCGUGGGACCAUUACGGUCAACAGGCUGGAGACGCCUCAGGAGCCACCAAAGACGUUCACCUUUGACACUGUGUUUGGACAAGACAGCAAACAGCUGGAUGUCUACAAUCUAACAGCGCGUCCUAUUAUUGACUCAGUGCUGGAAGGCUACAAUGGCACAAUUUUUGCAUAUGGCCAAACUGGCACGGGAAAAACCUUCACCAUGGAGGGGGUGAGAGCAGUGCCAGAACUCCGAGGAAUUAUUCCAAACUCAUUUGCUCAUGUUUUUGGCCACAUUGCCAAGGCAGAGGGCGACACCAGGUUUUUGGUUCGUGUUUCAUAUCUGGAGAUUUACAACGAGGAAGUGCGAGACUUGUUGGGCAAAGAUCAGUUGCAAAGGCUUGAGGUGAAAGAGCGCCCAGAUGUUGGUGUGUAUAUCAAAGACCUUUCUGGUUACGUGGUGAACAAUGCAGAUGACAUGGACAGGAUUAUGACCAUGGGACACAAAAACCGUUCUGUUGGAGCCACAAACAUGAACGAACACAGCUCCCGUUCUCAUGCUAUCUUUACCAUCACAAUUGAGUGCAGUGAGAAGGGUAUGGAUGGAAACCAGCAUGUGCGCAUGGGAAAGCUACAUCUGGUCGACCUGGCAGGUUCAGAAAGGCAGGGCAAGACUGGAGCCACAGGUCAACGUCUAAAGGAAGCAACAAAGAUCAAUUUGUCUCUGUCCACUCUGGGUAAUGUGAUCUCUGCUCUGGUGGAUGGCAAGAGCACACAUGUUCCCUACAGAAACUCCAAACUCACCCGACUCCUGCAGGAUUCACUGGGAGGAAACUCCAAGACCAUGAUGUGUGCAAACAUAGGCCCUGCAGACUACAACUAUGAUGAGACCAUCAGUACACUGCGCUACGCCAACAGGGCCAAAAACAUCAAGAACAAAGCCAGGAUUAACGAGGAUCCUAAAGAUGCCCUGCUGCGGCAGUUUCAGAAGGAGAUUGAGGAGCUGAAGAAGAAACUUGAGGAAGGGGAAGAGAUCUCGGGUUCUGACGGCAGCGGGUCAGAAGAGAUCGAUGAAGGCGAGGAAGAAGGUGGAGAGGCAGGAGAGGGACGCAGGAGAAGACGAGAAGAAAGAGGCAAAAAGAAGGUUUCUCCAGACAAGAUGGUGGAGAUGCAGGCCAAAAUUGAAGAGGAGAGAAAGGCUUUGGAGGCUAAGCUUGACAUGGAGGAGGAGGAGAGGAACAAAGCAAGGGCAGAGCUGGAGAAGAGGGAGAAGGACCUGCUUAAAGCCCAACAAGAGCAUCAGCUCCUGCAGGAGAAACUGACAGCCCUGGAGAAGAAGGUGAUCGUGGGAGGGGUGGACCUCUUGGCCAAAGCAGAGGAGCAGGAGAAGCUGCUGGAAGAAUCCAACAAGGAGCUCGAGGAGCGUCGCAGGAGAGCAGAGCAGCUGCGAAAGGAGCUGGAGGAAAAAGAACAAGAGCGUUUGGACAUAGAGGAGAAAUACACCAGCCUGCAGGAGGAGGCGCAAGGAAAGACCAAGAAACUGAAGAAGGUGUGGACCAUGCUGAUGGCUGCCAAAUCUGAAAUGGCAGAUCUGCAGCAGGAGCAUCACAGGGAGAUCGAAGGGCUUCUGGAGAACAUCCGUCAGCUGAGCAGAGAGCUGCGACUGCAGAUGCUCAUCAUAGACAACUUUAUACCACAGGAAUACCAGGAGAUGAUAGAGAAUUACGUACACUGGAAUGAGGACAUUGGAGAGUGGCAGCUGAAAUGUGUGGCCUACACUGGCAACAAUAUGAGAAAACAAACCCCCGCCCCGGACAAAAAAGAAAAAGAUCCCUUUGAGGUGGACCUGUCCCACGUGUAUUUGGCCUACACAGAGGAAAGCAUGCGGCAGUCAUUGAUGAAACUGGAGAGGCCCCGAACCUCCAAAAGUAGCAAGAGUGGUCGACCAAAGACUGGACGAAGGUAGUCACACCCUGAUGAGCAAUAUUGAUGCCGCAGUCAGCGAUGGUGAUUCAUAACUGAUGGAAAAGAUCUGCUAAACCUGAAGCUGUGAUCGAAUCCCUCCUACAAUAAAGUUGGCGACAGCACAAACGCAUUUCAUCGAAGGCUUCACGUUAUUUUAUCAAGAGACUGCAAAGUGUGGGGUUGUUGGUGUCAAAAACAAUUUAUUAUUAUUAUUAUUAUUAUGAGUGUCUGUCAGAAGGGGAUGUACAUUUAAAGGCACUGCAGUGUUGAAAAAAAACUGAAUCAUGGCAAGUCGCUGACUUACAAAACACACUUUAGUUGCAUCAUGUUUGAAGAGAACGGGUUUUUUUCUUUCACAUUUUAUUUGCAACCAUAAUAGUGUUUUGUGGUUUAGGGGAUAAAAGAAACACCUGACAGUAGCUCUUACGUCAUGAACACUGAACAGAUCUGAGUCUUAACCUUUAAACUCCAUAUCCUGCGUCGUGUGUCACCGGUUCUUUUGAAAUUCCUCUUGAAACUAAAUUGAAACAGUCUAGUUUUUUUUCACUCUUUCACCCAAGAUUAGCUGUGGUUGCUUUUUCCUUCACUUGAGGGACGGAAGGCGUGUAAAAGAUGUGAAGCAAGAUGGUCAGUCAGGGCACAACCAUCAGGUCACUGAAAGUUUUAUUCUGUUUUAAUUUUUCCUUCAGGUAAAAAGCAUUAAAAAAAAAAGCAUGGCAGCCAGCUCCUACGUCCGUGUCAUUUCCA